rnacentral:snRNA from 1 species
GUGCUCACUUCAGCAGUGCAUAUACUAAAAUUGGAAUGAUACAGAAAAGAUUAGCACAGCCCCUGCACAA